CGGUGGUGGCAGUGCGAGGGUACUGAGGGCAACAACGAAAGCGCGCACUUCGGAAUGCGCCGCGUUCUUGAGAAGUAGGGGGGCAACCCCCGUGAGUGAGCCGCCUUGUUGCCCUUGCCCCAACCUCAGUGAAGUCGGGCCGCUUGCUUGACGUACUGCCCGGCUUCCCUUCCUCACCUGCCCCUCCUUUCCUGCGAGGAAAAAGAACCCGCGAAAGAGAGGCGUUGCUGAGGGCGAGUUGUAUGGGGGAAAGGGUAGCAAGAGUUCUCCUGGCCUGGCGCUACCGGUUUGGCAGCUCGCGCGCUGGUGGGACUUGGCUUGAAUCGUUGUGGCGGCGGCAGCGCGCGCUGCACUUCGCCGUUCCAGUCGGUCCCGAGCGCAGAAACACAGCUACGUCGCGUGGUCUUCACAGUGCAUCCAUCGUCGUCACAUCCUUCAGCGUGUUGCAGUCCGCCACAACUUCCCACCUACAAAACGUUCCCAACGAAGACUUCCAAUCUUCAAGCCAUGGCUUUGAGAACGCGCGCACGAGGUAGUGCUGGAUGACAGAACGCGCGGAGUGCCUGCUGGCUGUGGGGUGGUGUGAGUGUGUCUCUACGGGGAAACAGGUGUGUGGCCGCUUCGGAUCAGGCGAUAACCCGAUGACUACGUGAAGGCUGAAUAGAAGAAGACGUGCGUGAUCCAGAUCGGGACCUCGGAUUUGCCCCGGUUGCUGGCGACCGUACUGUUUACUUAUAUUUUCUGUAUGUGUGCAACGUUGUGAGUGCGUGUUCUUGGAGAGCGCUCUAGUUUUUUUUUUUUUUUUUCGUACGGAGUGUUUCAAUUUCGUCCCCGAAGCAAGAAGGAAGUCAGGCCGUCGCACCACGCAUCAGCGCGAGAUCGGAGAGAAGGCGACAGUGUUUUCUGCGGGGGGGUGUUCUACGGAAGAAGAAGGGAAAGCGUGGCCGCUGAAUCUGUGUCAUCUCGUAUAGGAAGAAAAGCGUGUUGUUCGUCAACGUACGGAACGAGGCAAAGUCUUUCGUUGUUCGAACCACCGAUUUCACUUGCACUCUUUCAACGAAUCUGAUUGCCAUCGCCCACAAGAAAGCUGCCAGCUUGUCACCUGGAAGAUCAACCCGUUGAACCGAUUCCCGAUCGACGCGAAGACUGGCUAGUGAAGGUUACCGCGGCGAAGUGGAAAGGCGGGCAAUUUCCGACAUCGGUCCGGCGAUCAAGGUUUCUCCGUAAGCGCAGUUGGAGCGUAGAAAGAACAACGUGUGUCGCUAUACCUCUGGUCAUCGUCAACGAUCAUCCGUGCUGUGUUCUACGGUUAGCGCUCCGUUGUGUCUUUUCCGCAGCGUACAAGCCGAUGUCCCUUAGUCUCGAAGACCAGUCACAACGUCGUUCGCUUUACACCGUGACACCCAAGACCUCCGGGUUCCUUUAGCAUGAGGUGGCGGCUUGUCCGUGCAAGCCGGACCAAACUCUUUGAAAGUGACCGCCGCUGGACGCAGGUCGAACUUAACAACUUCGUCGACGUCGUUCUGCGACGAUGACUCGACGGCUGCCCGCAACCGCAACGAUGGCACGUCCGUCGAUGCCAGCGUUGCUCGGAUUACUGCUGCUAACGGCUUCGUUCGGCCAGGUGGUCGGAGUGAACCAGCUGACGCUACACCUGCCAAGCGAGUACACCAGUCUACCUGGGGGCGAGCUGAGGGUCGACUACUCGCCGCCUGUCGGCGACCCGGGCCCCAACUUCACGUUCCCGGCCACGGACUCCGUAGAGGGCGUUCCCAUCGACGGCGUGCUGCCGGGCACGGACUACAACUUCCAGCUCUACCUCAGCAACGGCACCGUUAACAACCACCGGCUGUGGACGAGCGUUAUAGAGACCGAGCCGGACCCGCCCACUAACCUUUCCAUCAAGAUUGACACGGGCAAGGUGGCACACGUCUACUGGCAACCACCGGCCGAAGGCAAGAUCACCGGAUACCGGCUCGCCAUCUCUCCGCUCUCGGACCAGGACGAGGCACCCGAGCGCAGCGUUCACUUGAACGACGAGAACCCCCCUUACACCCUCAGGGACCUCACCCCAGGAGGCACCUACCAGCUGCAACUGUUCAGCGUCUAUAAAUCCCGCGAGUCGCAGCAAUCGGCCUCUUCAAACUUCACCACAAAACCCAAUGCCCCUGGCCGUUUCAUAGUGUGGUUCCGAAAUGAAACUACACUCUUGGUGCUGUGGCAGCCGCCCUACCCCUCUGGCAUUUUCGAUCAGUAUUUGGUAAGCAUCACGCCAGAGGAUGCGUCUCAGUCCAUCCUCUACGUCGACAAAGAAGGUGAGCCACCCGGUCCGGCACAAGCCCCCUUCUAUGGUCUCGUGCCUGGUAGGGCAUACAACAUCUCGGUGCAGACCAUCAGCCAGACGCAGAUCAGCGCACCCACAGAGGCGCAGUACAGAACCGUUCCCCUCCCCCCAUCCAACGUGACCUUCAACAAGGAGAAGGUGACCUCCAGGUCGUUCGAAGUGUCCUGGUCCCCUCCCAAGUCGUUCUCCGAGUUCGACCGCUACCAGGUAGCCCUGAGCAUGCAGCACUCGCUCAGGCAGAUUGUGGGCAGAGAUGAGGAGCGCGUGGCCAACUUCGACCAAGACCUGGAACCCGGCCGCACCUACGAGGUCAUGGUCAAGACGGUCAGCGGUAAUGUGGCCAGCUGGCCUGUCAUGGGAAACGUCACCACUCAUCCUUUGCCUGUGGAGGAUUUGAAUGCAACCUACGGUGAUGCUGGUGAAAUCCUGGUGCGAUGGAAACCUAAUAAUGCAAGCCUUCAGGAUGCCUACAUGGUUCGUUACAAUGAACUGGAGUCCUUCAACAGCGACAGUCUGGAGACAGUGAAGAACAACUCAGUUCUGCUGAAGGGCCUUUUGCAAGGCCGCAACUACUCCAUCAGCGUUGUCGCCGUCAGCAAGGGUGUACCGAGCAAGCCAGUCUUCACGUACCAGUCGACACGUCCGGCGUCUCCUGUGAUCGAGGCGCUGGAGCCGGUUGGUCAGCACAUGAACGUUUCGUGGAAGUCUGACGUGACGAGCCGCCAGGACUCUUUUGCGGUCGUCUACGUGCGUAACGACACCGGCGAGCGGCGCCAGGAGGACACGCGCCAGAACUGGCUCCUGCUCAACAACCUGUACCCGGGCGCCAGCUACCAGAUCCGCGUGUACGCCGUCAGCCACGGCCUCUGGUCCGAGCCGCACUCGUACUACCAGACAGUCGCCCCUAGGCCUCCACAAAACCUGCAGAUAGCGAAGGCUAGCAACUCAACCGUAAUACUCACGUGGAAUGCCCCAGCGAACUCCUUGGUUGACCAUUAUGCUGUCCGGUAUCGUCCUAUUGAAUCUACGUACUGGAGGGAAUUCGGCGUUGUCAACUCAACGUCAGCUGAAAUCGACGACCUGAUUGCCGGGGAACGAUAUGUAGUCCGCGUGGCGACAGUCAGUAACAAGGUGGAAAGCACCGACGCUCAAGACGUGGAACAAACGCUGUAUCCGAACUCCAUCAAACACGUAACUCACUUCCUCGACUCCCAAAACAUCACCUUCGAGUGGACGGCACCUCCAGGACGUGUAGAUUACUACAUCAUCGUUUAUAACCCUCUCAAUGACCAGAAGAAGCAGAAAUCGCAGCAGGUUCCAGCUAACUCAACGCGUCCAGGAGACAACGUAAACGUCAUCAUCGAAAACCUGAAGCCCGGAGAGUUGUACUCCUUUCGCCUUUACGCCGUCAGCCAUGACGUCAGGAGUGAAGGUUUCGGCGUCCAGACGAGAACCAUGCCUGUCAUCGACUCUGUCAUCAACAUUGUCGCUGACGAACACGAGACUCAAACCCUGGGCAUCAAGUACACGCCGACUCCUCAGCGGCACGUGGUCUUUGACCGGUACCGGUUCCAGCUUAGCGAUACCGGUAUACCGGCGCAGGAGAAGCUGUCGAACGACACCAACCGGCUGGUGCUCUUCGACCAUCUCGUUCCCGGAAGACUCUACAACAUCAGCAUUUGGACCAUCAGCGGCGGAGUCUACAGCGUGCCCAUCUACCGACACACCAGGCUGUUCCCGGACCCGGUGAAGGAGAUCAAGGCGCUCACGGUGACGGACACGGCCAUCUCGCUGGUCUGGGAAAGCGCCACGGGCGAUCGCGACGGCUACGAGGUGCAGUACCUCGACCACCGAGGCGUCCUCGUGCAGAACUUUACGCUGGCCGAGCGCAUCUCGUACGAGCACCUGCGGCCGCACCACAACUACACGUUCGUGGUGGCCGUGAUGAGCGGAUACGACACGUCCACCGUGCGCCGCAGUCUGCCCGUGUCCCGCACCUUCCAGACCCUAGAGUCCGUGCCAGGGAAGGUCCAGAACUUCCAACCAUUCGAGCUGAAACCGAGCGAAAUCGUGCUGCAGUGGUCGCUUCCAUCCAGCGAGCAGAACGGCGUGCUGACGGGCUUCAAAAUCACUUACUACAUGAAGGGUUCCUUGACCUAUCGCCACAAACUCUUUGAACCGACUGAAACAAAAGGAGUCAUCUCUAACCUCAUACCUGGACGAACCUACGUGUUUGAGAUUCAAGCACACACGAAAAUUGGCCCUGGGGGAAAAGGAAGAUGGGAGGAGACUAUGCCUAUCUGGGCCCCACCAAAGCCAAGCGAUUCAGUCUUUCCGAAGUCGCUAACCCACACGGCAACAACCAUCCGGGUGAGCUUUCGCAAGAACUUCUUCGCCAACAGCCACGGUCCGAUUCACGCCUACACGCUCAUCGUGGCUGAAGACGUGUCGAAAGAUGCAACCAGUGCUAGUCUGCCAACGUGGUCUGAAGUGCAGAGCUUCCAUAGUUGGCCUCCGUACCAGGUGACAGAGCCGUACUACCCAUUCAAUGGCACCCUCACCGAGGAUUUCGUGAUUGGAUCCGAAGACUGCAAGGGAGACAAGGGCUACUGCAACGGGCCCCUGAAGCCUGGAUCGACAUACAGGGUCAAAGUUCGUGCCUACACCGCGCCGGACAAGUUCACGGACACUGUCUACUCGUACCCAAUCCAAACAGAUCCGGACAACACUCCCCUGAUUGUUGGCAUCCUCGUCCCCCUCUCAUUGUUGGUUAUCCUUGCCAUCCUACUGGUUGUCCUAAGGCGACGGCGACUAGGACCUUUCGCACCCCACUCCAGAGGCGACCCGCAUUCCAAGGACCACGACAUCGUGUCUAUAGCUGAGAGCGAAAUGGUGACCAGUCGUCCCGUGAAGCUGAAGGACUUCCUCGAGCACUACCGCAUCAUGUCGGCCGACUCGGACUUCCGCUUCUCCGAGGAGUUCGAGCUGCUCAAGCACGUCGGCCGAGACAAGCCGUGCGGUGCAGCCGACUUGCCCGUGAACCGGCCCAAGAACCGGUUCACCAACAUCCUACCGUACGACCACUCUCGCGUCAAGCUACUCCCUACCGAUGACGAGGACGGAUCGGACUACAUCAACGCCAACUACAUUCCAGGCUUCAACUCUCCCCGCGAGUUCAUCGUGACCCAGGGCCCUCUGCACAGCACUCGCGACGACAUGUGGCGCAUGGUGUGGGAGCAGAACUGUCGUGCCAUCGUCAUGCUGACGCGGUGCAUCGAGAAAGGGCGCGAGAAGUGCGACCACUACUGGCCUUUCGACACGCAGCCCGUAUACUACGGUGACAUACAGGUCACCAUCCUCAACGAGUCGCAGUACCCCGACUGGACCAUCUCGGAAUUCAAGGUUUCCCGGGGAGACCAAUCCCGAAUAGUCAGACACUUUCACUUCACAACGUGGCCGGACUUCGGAGUGCCCGACCCUCCGCAAACGCUGGUGAAAUUUGUCCGAGCAUUCAGGGAGCGGGUCAUCCCUGACACCAAGCCCAUCGUAGUCCACUGCAGUGCCGGUGUCGGUCGUUCCGGCACGUUUAUUGCGCUGGACCGAAUUCUACAAGGCCUGCGCAAGUACGACUCGGUGGACAUCUUCGGAAUUGUCUACGAAAUGCGUCGCGAGCGGGUCUGGAUGGUCCAGAAUGAGCAACAGUACAUCUGCAUCCAUCAGUGCCUGAUGUGCGUUCUUGAAGGAAAAGAAGACGUUUUAGACUCUCCACGACCCGAAGCGCAUGACAACCAAGGUUUUGAGGAUGACGAAGGGAUAGCCGAAUCUGGAAUAUGACUUCCCUAAAGCGCCGCCCUCCUCACGAUUCCCACAAAGCGACUUGUUCGUGCGAUCUACGCAAGCCAAGACGACGUUGUUUCCUCAUAGACUUCACUCACUUCCUGGCCUAUAGACCCUUGGCUGCCAUAUUGCAGUCGACUCGGGAGCAAUAAUGACCACUCCCUCGUCCUUCCGUUAAUUAUUCCCGAAGAUGUGUUCGUUAGUUUGUAUCCAAGCCAAGGACAAACAAAAAGCCAAACAGUGCUGUGUGUGGUACAGACUGCAAAGAGACCCACAUUUUUUUUUCAGCGCUGUGACUUUGGAGGUGGCGUCGAAAAAGGAAAAAAAACUUCGCACUACCCUUCGAGGCGGAACUUUUUUGUGCUUGUGUUCGAGUGUGUGCGUGUAAAUACAACGAGUAAUUUAUCGCUAAACUUUAUCUAUGACGUGCCAGAACUUUGCGUGCAUAUAACAGUAUUGUGUGCGGGACCCUCUGUGAAUGCUGAAGGCAACUGGAAUGCCAACAGGUUACGUGGACGAGUGUCGAGAUACUCAAGGCUUCUAAAGACCGCCUAAAAAUCUUCUAAAAACAUUGACACUUUUGCAAGUGCCGUUUACUGCAGUGUUCGAAAUGUUAAGACGAGAACAGCACCAUGACAAAUUAAAAAUGUUAUCCUCGUUAAUAUACCAUCCUAUAAAUCUCGUUUGGUGAAAUUACUGUCGGUUCCUUCGAACAAUUACACGUGCGCAGGUGCGUAACGCAACGCUCUUUAUGGUACCGUAAUUUAACUGAAUGCUCAGACAUUGUGUUCAUUAUAAGUAUUAUAAGUUAUGAAUUUUUUUAGUGAGUAGUACUACGAUCUAAGAAAUCAUGCGUUCAUGCACAGCUUUUCAAUAUGCCUAAUUCAAACCAUCAUUUCAAGAGGAACAUCAACUUAUAGGAAACAUAGAGCUUCACCUAAACAUAGCAUUAAGAGCUGCAGAGGCUUUUUGAAGACAGUACUUACACCUGCAGCCACUAAUAUUGGUUCCUUCUUUAUGACGUUUAAUAGUUACAUGACGUAAAGUUUGCCACAGACACAUCUAUAACCACAGAGUGUUUAUAUGUAAAAUUUUCACACAUUGUUACACGGUUGUACAACACCGUACAAUGAGAUCAAGCGCACGGCUGACUUUAAACAUGGCAUCAUAAUAAUAGCUUCUAAAAGAAGCUCUAAUGGAACGGUUGUCAGCAUUGGUACAUAUAUGAUUUAAUAUUAGCUGCUCAAAAGUCUAAGAUACGAAGCAAUGCUCAAAGGAGACAACGUUACUUAUUUCAUGCAGUCUCUCCUUACUGAACUUAAGUUCAGCUUAAAAUAUUUUUGAUCAGUAUCUUUUUUUGUGCAUUGCAAUUAACUGACGGCAAUUACAAUCAAUUAACGAGAACAAUGUAAUGUUGGGUUAUCUUUUUGCAUUUAUGAUCGUACCCAGCUGUUAAAAGAUGUCAAUCUCAGAAGUGUGUUCUAGCCAUGGCAUACCAACUGGUGGCCUGCUAAAGUUUUCGACUUUUUGUACUGAAAUGGUCUUUUUAACGCAAUAUUUCAUGCGUUUGCUUACAGUAUAACAAGUGGGCAGUAACUUAGUGAUAGGAGGUAGGCUCUUGUACAACCUCGAGUAAUAAGAGACAGCAUGACACCCGUUUUCUUGUAAAACGACUGUACGUGCUUCCAACGUCACAAAUCAUGUUAAUUAACAUAUCAAGAAUACAUAAUGAGCUUAUGUAAUAUCUACAAUAGACUUGCAUGACUAUAAUAGGCUAGCUGUUCGGAAUGCCGUGUUUUCACGUGUACAAAAAUACCUUGUAUAUAAUCCCAGGCUCGUAUUGCAACAACUAAAGAAAAGGAUCUGUAAUUAAGCCUGCGUAGAUUUGAUUUCAACGAUCACGCAAGAUCAAAAACGUUCAACUUUUUUGAAAAAGCAGUGCUGCAAAAGUGCUGCCGCGAGAUAACUUAUGUGACUUGUUAAAUAAAAAUAGAUGGUAUGAAGAAACGGUAGAAUCAAGUGCAUAUGCUAGUAACUGCUUGAAAUUGUAAUAUCUCAAUAUCAAACAGCAGGCUUUGAUAUUGUGAACAGCAACAGCUACACCCACGCAUGUGGCCUCGUCUCGUGCGUGCAAUAUUUUAAUGUCUAAGCAACAUAUAGGAUAUAUUUGCAUGUCGUUCUGUUAGCUAGUAAACAAAAAUGCAGUAGACAGUUGUCUGCCAACUUUUCUUAACCACAGUUAUCCAUUUAUAUGUAGUAGCCAUAAGUAAAUUUGGGAAUAAAACUAAGAAUGGCGGAACUAGAAUGAUGAUAUAGCACCAGUGAUUGCACUGUUGAACCAGCGUUUUUGAAACGAGGCUAAAGUUAGCGCAGCUUCUGAUACUAUUCAGGUUAUUUUAUUUUUUCUUCCAUUCAGAAGGAAUAUUGAAGAUUUUUUUUUACCUCUGAGAGCCACAACUUUCAUUAGAGAAGGAAAGCAAUGAGAGUAGCUUGUAGGUUAUCCCAAAGUUACGCAUGUGUACCUAAUGUUAAAUAGCCCAGCCUCUAUUAAUCAUCUAUAUACUGAUGAGCCUAUGGCAAAGCUGUUCGCUUAGGUAUGUGCUUUUCUGUUGAGCCUCGAAGAAACACAGCAUUCCUCUCUGAAAUGUACAAAAAAUAUCAUGUUCCCCUUGUAUUUUUUUCUUCGCGAGCCAAGUUUCCCAUUUUCUAUAUAAGUUACAACUCUUCCUUUAUCUCAGUUUUGCUGCUCUUUUGCCCAGCAGUUUAGGUUAAUAUUUUUUUUCCUGAUGUUUUUCACAUCUUCUUCAUUAUAGGUUCUCAGUGAGUUGAUCAGAGGUGAUGCACGUUGUCGAAGAUAUUUGAUUUGCUAAAUGUUUUUAAGAGAGCUAGAAGUGAACAUUUAGGUCAAAAAGAUAGCUGACAUUCUGUUUUUUUUAGGCUGUUAGAAAUGCUUCAUAUACUAUACAGUGUAAGUGUUAAUUACAGAAAAAAUGCAAAACUUCAGUGAGUUGCUCUGGGGUGAGGCACUGUAUCGCGGAAACUUGAUUUGUCAUAUCUUCUUAGAAGAGCUACAAGGGAGCAUUAAAGUCUAAAGAUAGCUGAUAUUCUGUUUUCAAGCUGUUAGAAAUGUUGUAUUAGUAUGUACACAGUGUCAUAGUUUAUUAAGGCGACAUCUCGUGAAGCUUAUAUUUUGCUCUAUAGGUCUGGCUAUGUACUCUAGCAUCAGUGCAGCCUAAAGUGAGCCUGAAGGUGUUAGAUUAUAUCGCACAGACACUUGUGCUUUUCGCUGGCAGGUAAGGUGGCGAUGCAAAGCGGCAAUAACAGCCACUGUUGUCUCUCAUUAGAUCCGAUAACACGUGUUCAUUGCUGUCCCAAUAGAUCAGUUGUUUACCAAUUAAAAGUGAUUGCUUUACUAGCUACAUUUUCCCUCUAACGCUGUAUAAUUCAAAGACCUCGGACAAGUCAAGCUUCUUACUUUCAAGGGUUAAGCAGCGUGGCUGAAAAUGUCGGAAGUAAAGGCACGUGUUGACAGUAUGGGAAAUGUGAGAUUAUGAAUAAGCUUGAUGGGCGAGUCUAUGUGAAUACUGACAAGUGUUGAUUCAGAUCUCCUCCAAUAACUCCAUCGUAAAAGCUUACAAUGUUCUAAUCACUCAGUUCAGUGACUCAGUCAUUGGAGCCUAAUGUGACUCCAGUGACUUUGUGAAACUCAGGAAUGCUCAGUUGAUUUCUGAUAUACAGUAAGCUUCGUUCUUAUGGCAAGUACGUAACUGCUAAUAAUGUCAAUUUAAUUAUGCUUCUUUUACAUUACUAGAUGAACACAAAAGAAGCACAUCAGGCUGGCAUGGGGCAUCAUGCGCUGUCAUAUAUGCCUUCAUACCAUAAUUAAGCUCUAGCUUUUAUGCAAAUCACUACUGAAUGUUCCAUUUAACGAUGGGUUACGCGGUACAGUUGGUUCUGCGCAUGUCUGUUCAAAUGGACAUAACCAACGGAACUUCUUAGCGCAUGUUAUCUACAUUUUCAGAUGAUUCAAACUAAGACCUGUAGUCUUUGUAAGUUCUGAUUAAGUUGUGAGUAAACUGUAUUUACACAUAGCGGCACAAUUUAACCGAAGUUCGCUUAUUGUCUUCCAAUUAAAAAGUGAACAACACUUUUGGUUCUACACAUGCUAUAAGCUCAUUUGCAAUAUUGCCAAGCGAUGCUAGUUAUAGAUAAGCUUAGAAAUAGGAGUAGGUCUUAAAAUAUGUGCAACCUAUUAAAUGUGCGCAUUUUUCCUUUGAGCGGUUCACAUCACUGUACUGGAUCCAAGUAAAAUUUAUAGCUGCAGUGUUUAAAGUAGUGUAAGAAUGUACGAGCUUAGAGAGAUUGCAAGUGCUUGUCUUUAGAAAAGGGCGGCUUUGAAAUAUUAGUUUUCAUAGCGCCUUGCUAGAGUGUCGUGGGCUCCAAAAUAUGCCGAGAUAUACUACGCCACAUUUGAGCGCAGCUGCAAGCACAUGUUACUUACUCUAUUGAGGACGUGCUUAAGAGACCACGAUAUGUAAAAGUGAACUCCAGAAAUUAGCUGGGAACCACCUUUAUAGCCACUUCGUUGCACCGGUUUUGUCUAAAUAUAUUUAUAUUGAAAUGCACAAGAAUUUUGUUGCAAAUAUUGGUACCAAAUUUGCAAUUACCUUAAUUACUCUCUUCAGCCUUUUGUGCCAAAUUCUCAUUUGUAUAUUACAGAAUGUUUGCUUUGCAUUCCAGACGAUAAUGCCUGACGUUAGCGACAAUACUGAGGAAAUAGCGGAUAUGGCAUCACUGAUGCCGAACUUUCACUGAAGCUCGUUUGUACUCAGUGCAGCAGUUUUCGCAAAAGUUUUGUGAGAUGCCUUCCUUUUCUUUGACUGAUUAUGCAGAAGGUAUGCUUGCGCUGCUGACCAAUGAUUAGAAGAAUGACUUGUAAUGAGUCACUGAGUGUUGUCAUAUUUACGAUUACCAAGUUUUCGAAUGAUGUCAAAGAGCAUUUAAUUGAGAGCCAAUUGUCAAGUGCCAACACUACCUGUUACUGUAACGGCUGAAAGCUCAGACCUUUUUUGUCAUAUGAAAACUAGACAGAGUUUAGAGGCAGGUUAGACGAAGCUAAUGGCAGAGUAGUUUAGCGUGUGUCAUUAGAUGAGUGCUGAAACGAAACACUAAGAUGUACGCGUGACACUUCUUACAGCUUUCACUUCUUUGUAGUCACAGUUGAAGGACUAUGAAGCAAACUGUUUUAUUCCCAUUGUUCGUGUUUCAAAUGUAGCACUAAAAAAUGUUGACUAUUUUUGUUAAGUUUUAAGCCUUGUUUACCCUCAGUUCGCCUUUUCCAUUCAUUUGCGGAGUACACUUGCUGGCUCCUUCAUUUCUUCUGUAAAUUUCACCCAGUUGACCUCUGUGAAGAUGAAGUUUAAGAUUUGAUACUGCCCAUUAAUCGUUGAAUACUUUGACUAGCGAAUGCAAGUAUACGUGAUGGGAAUGAAUGAAUGAACAAUAAAAGUGAACUGCUGAGUUA
rnacentral:misc_RNA from 1 species